GGAGGAAAAGAAACUAACAAGGAUUCCCCUAGUAACUGCGAGUGAAGCGGGAAAAGCUCAAAUUUAAAAUCUGGUAGUCUUUGGCUGCCCGAGUUGUAAUCUAGAGAAGCAUUAUCCGCGCUGGACCGUGUACAAGUGUCCUGGAAUGGACUAUCAUAGAGGGUGAGAAUCCCGUCUUUGACACGGACUCCCAGGGCUUUGUGAUGUGCUCUCAAAGAGUCGAGUUGUUUGGGAAUGCAGCUCUAAAUGGGUGGUAAAUUCCAUCUAAAGCUAAAUAUUGGCGAGAGACCGAUAGCGAACAAGUACCGUGAGGGAAAGAUGAAAAGAACUUUGGAAAGAGAGUUAAACAGUACGUGAAAUUGCUGAAAGGGAAACGCUUGAAGUCAGUCGCGUUGGCUGGGAAUCAACCUUGCUUCUUGCUUGGCUUACUUCCCAGUUGACGGGUCAGCAUCAGUUUUGACCAGUGGAUAAAGGUUAGGGGAAUGUGGCACCUCCGGGUGUGUUAUAGCCCUUGAUCAUAUACAUUGGUUGGGACUGA
rnacentral:rRNA from 3 species